GACGAACGCUGGCGGCGUGCCUAAUACAUGCAAGUCGAACGCUGAAGGAGGAGCUUGCCCUUCUGGAUGAGUUGCGAACGGGUGAGUAACGCGUAGGUAACCUGCCUGGUAGCGGGGGAUAACAAUUGGAAACGCUAGCUAAUACCGCAUAACAGUAGAUGUUGCAUGUCAUUUACUUAAAAGGUGCAAUUGUGUCACUACCAGUUGGUGCUGCCUUGUCUUAGUUAGUUGGUGGGGUAACGGCUCACCAAAGCGACGAUACAUAGUCGCCCUGGGAGGGUGGACGGCCACACUGGGACUGAGACACCGCCCAGACUCCUACGGGAAGCAACAGGAGGGAAUCUUCGGCAAUGGACGGAAGUCUUACCGAACAACGCCGCGGGAGUGAAUAAGGGUUUCGGGUCGGAAAGCUCUGUUGUAAGGGGAGAACGAGUGUGGGAAUGGAAAGUGCACACUGUGACGGUAUCUUACCAGAAAGGGACGGCUAACUACGUG
rnacentral:rRNA from 1 species